GCCAGCAUGGUAUAGUGGUUUGAGCGCUAAACUGUAGCUCUGGAAAUGAGGGUUCAAAUCCCAACUCAGUCA